AACGAACGCUGGCGGCACGCCUAACACAUGCAAGUCGAACGAGACCUUCGGGUCUAGUGGCGCACGGGUGCGUAACGCGUGGGAACCUGCCCUUAGGUUCGGAAUAACUCCCCGAAAGGGGUGCUAAUACCGGAUAAUGUCUUCGGACCAAAGAUUUAUCGCCUUUGGAUGGGCCCGCGUUGGAUUAGCUAGUUGGUAGGGUAAAAGCCUACCAAGGCGACGAUCCAUAGCUGGUCUGAGAGGAUGAUCAGCCACACUGGGACUGAGACACGGCCCAGACUCCUACGGGAGGCAGCAGUGGGGAAUAUUGGACAAUGGGCGAAAGCCUGAUCCAGCAAUGCCGCGUGAGUGAUGAAGGCCUUAGGGUUGUAAAGCUCUUUUACCCGGGAUGAUAAUGACAGUACCGGGAGAAUAAGCUCCGGCUAACUCCGUGC
rnacentral:rRNA from 1 species